AAGCAGAGCUCUGGGUUGUCUCCAUCAUGGCCUGGACCCCUCUCCUGCUCCCCCUCCUCACUCUCUGCACAGGGUUUGUGGCUUCCUCUGCCUUGGAUCAGCCGCCUUCAGUGUCUGUGGCCCUGGGAGAGACAGUCAGCCUCACCUGCCAGGGAGGAGGCCUAGGAAAUUAUAAGGCUCACUGGGAGCAGAAGAAGCCAGGCCAGCGCCCUGUAUUGGUCCUCUACGGUGAUAGCAACUUGGCCUCAGGGGUCCCUGACCGAUUCUCCGGCUCUCGCUCUGGUGACACAGCCACUCUGACCAUCACUGAGGCCCAGGCUGAGGAUGAGGCUGACUAUUACUGUCAGACAUUGGACCCCAGUGGUAAAACUGUCACAGUGACACAGGCAGAUGGGGAAGUGAGACACAAACCCUCUUCCCCGCCUAGUUCACACUCUCUAAGCAGCCCCAAUGGGAAGAGGCACACAGCCAGAAGGGUCACCUACACCUGA